UGAGGAAUAUUGCGCAAUGGGCGAAAGCCUGACGCAGCGACGCCGCGUGUGGGAUGAAGGAGCUUUGCUUUGUAAACCACUGUCGGACGGGAAGAAAAAGUUCCUACGGGGGCUUGGGACAGUACCGUCAGAGGAAGCACCGGCUAACUACGUGCCAGCAGCCGCGGUAAUACGUAGGGUGCGAGCGUUGUCCGGAAUUACUGGGUGUAAAGGGUGCGUAGGCGGGCAUGUGCGUCGGAGGUUAAAUACAACGGCUUAACCGUUGAACUGCCUUCGAAACGGCAUGUCUUGAAUGUGGGAGAGGAUGAUGGAAUUCCUGGUGUAGCGGUGAAAUGCGUAGAUAUCAGGAGGAACACCGGUGGCGAAGGCGGUCAUCUGGCCCACUAUUGACGCUGAGGCACGAAA
rnacentral:rRNA from 1 species